GAUGAACGCUAGCGGCAGGCCUAACACAUGCAAGUCGAGGGGUAGUUACUUUCGGGUAAUGAGACCGGCGCACGGGUGCGUAACGCGUAUGCAAUCUACCUUUUACAGGGGAAUAGCCCAGAGAAAUUUGGAUUAAUGCCCCAUAGUAUGUAUGAAUCGCAUGUUUUAUACAUUAAAGUUCCAACGGUAAAAGAUGAGCAUGCGUCCCAUUAGUUAGUUGGUAAGGUAACGGCUUACCAAGGCAACGAUGGGUAGGGGUCCUGAGAGGGAGAUCCCCCACACUGGUACUGAGACACGGACCAGACUCCUACGGGAGGCAGCAGUGAGGAAUAUUGGACAAUAGGGCGGCAAGCCUGAUCCAGCCAUGCCGCGUGCAGGAUGACGGUCCUAUGGAUUGUAAACUGCUUUUGUACAGGAAGAAACACUGGUUCGUGAACCAGCUUGACGGUACUGUAAGAAUAAGGAUCGGCUAACUCCGUGCCAGCAGCCGCGGUAAUGUG
rnacentral:rRNA from 1 species